CUUUUCCUUCGUUUCUCCUCCCCUUUCCUCACGCUGAUCUCCUCCUCCUCUUCAUCGCGUCGCCUACACCCGACGUCGCCGCCUCACUGCAGACGUUGAUCGUUGGCCACUGGCGGUUUGAGCUCUCAACAUCGUUUCCCUUCCGAUCUCAGUCUCCUCGCGCCGAGCAGCAUCGUCGCCACUCCAAUCUGGAGCCGUGCCCUAACUUCGAUCCACCGCCAGCCUACUCGUGCUCCACUCCCUAAGUGUCGGUGCCUAUCGACGGUCGCUGCUCCUCUCCUUCUCAUCACCGACGGUCAUCCAAGCCUUGUUCUAGCAGCCAACCUCCCUUCUGGCAUCCCAUCUUUGGUCGCAGAUACAAAAGGGACUUCCGACAGCCAAGCUUUCGAUCGUGCCCUAGAACUACCUUCGAGACACCUCUUCCUGAUCUGGCACCGGCUCACUGAGUGCUGACGUCUCUUGACCUAGUGACACCAUCAACAUCUAAUUGCUUGCUGCCAUCGUCGAAGAAGAGGAAAGUUAGGCGGGACCUUUGCUCUGUAUUCAUUAAUGUUGCGGCAUUCAAAGAUUGGACUGUCGAGGACAUCCCAUGCUGCACAUGAGCACCUGACUGCUUACGAGCUUGAAACUGAUUGUGAGGAAACUCGAACUAGUUUACGGAUAAAGAAAUUUCUCGAGAAGAAUCAGACUUCUCGACUUUUGCUACUACUAUUUACGCUAUUAGGGACAAGUAUGGUCAUUGGCGAUGGUUGUUUGACCCCGACAAUCUCAGUUGUUUCAGCAGUUUCUGGACUCAGAAUUAAGCUUCCAGGUCUUCAUGAAGAUUGAGGUGUCUUCUAGUGAUCAACCCUCGUCCAGUCGAUCAAUUCGACGCUUCGAGCCAACCAGUCAAUUGGAGGACAAACUAGAAUGCAUGCACAGGAAGGUCUUCGGCCGUUUUACUGCCCGCGAGGCUAUUCUUGAUGAAGAAUUUUGGAUGACAACACCAAUAUCAAUUGAAGAUGUUCGUAGAGAGGUCAAAAUCCUCAAAGCCUUGUCCAACCAUAAUAAUCUUGUCAAAUUUUAUGAUGCAUGUAAGGAUGCACUUAACGUCUACGUAGUCAUGGAAUUAUGUGAAGGUGGAGAAUUAUUAGAAAGAAUUUUAUCCAGAGGGGGAAGGUACUCAGAGGAGGAUGCAAAAGCUAUAGUUAUUCAAAUACUAAGUGUAAUCGUCUUUUGUCAUCUUCAAGGUGUUGUGCAUCGUGAUUUAAAGCCAGAGAAUUUUCUUUUCACCACCAGAGAUGAAAAUGCUCAGAUGAAGUUGAUUGAUUUUGGCCUUUCCGAUUUUGUUAAACCAGGCGCUAUCUAAAGCCCUAACAGAGGAUCAGCUGUUUUAUCUAAGAUCACAGUUUAAGCUACUAGCACCAAACGGAGAAGGUCACAUAUCGUUCGACAACUUUCGAAUGGCCCUAUUGCAAAAUGUAACCGAGUCAAUGAAGGAGAGUAAGGUUAUUGAUAUCUUAAAUGUGGCGAGGCAUUUAUUCCUGCUGCCAUUUUUUUUGCAGUUGCUAAGUUUCUUUUGUAUGCCUCCACCAUUACCAUUACUACAGAAUUUAUAUGCUGCAGUUUUGACCUUUUGCGAGAUUAGAACAGUGGAUGUUUUAACUCAGAAAACUAGGCAUUUGAAGGUGAAAAGUGGUGAG